UCUGGAAACCAUAGAGCUGUGGCACCACCUGAUUCCAUUCCGAACUCAGAAGUGAAACACAGUAUCGCCGAUGGUAGUUUGGGGUCUCCCCAUGCGAGAGUAGGUCAUUUCCAGGC
rnacentral:rRNA from 1 species